AUUGAACGCUGGCGGCAGGCCUAACACAUGCAAGUCGAACGGUAACAGGAAGAAGCUUGCUUCUUUGCUGACGAGUGGCGGACGGGUGAGUAAUGUCUGGGAAACUGCCUGAUGGAGGGGGAUAACUACUGGAAACGGUAGCUAAUACCGCAUAACGUCGCAAGACCAAAGAGGGGGACCUUCGGGCCUCUCGCCAUCGGAUGUGCCCAGAUGGGAUUAGCUAGUAGGUGGGGUAACGGCUCACCUAGGCGACGAUCCCUAGCUGGUCUGAGAGGAUGACCAGCCACACUGGAACUGAGACACGGUCCAGACUCCUACGGGAGGCAGCAGUGGGGAAUAUUACACAAUGGGCGCAAGCCUGAUGCAGCCAUGCCGCGUGUAUGAAGAAGGCCUUCGGGUUGUAAAGUACUUUCAGCGGGGAGGAAGGGAGUAAAGUUAAUACCUUUGCUCAUUGACGUUACCCGCAGAAGAAGCACCGGCUAACUCCGUG
rnacentral:rRNA from 1 species